CAAAAUGAGAUACGUCAGUAUGACAAUACGUCAUCCUAAAUGCGAGAGGCCCUGGGUUCAAUUCCCAGCUCGCCCC
rnacentral:tRNA from 1 species